rnacentral:rRNA from 1 species
GAAAUGCGAUACGUAGUGUGAAUUGCAGAAUUCCGUGAACCAUCGAAUUUUUGAACGCAUAUUGCGCUCAAGGCUUCGGCCAAGAGCAUGUCUGCCUCAGCGUCGGGUUCAAUAUCCCACCCCUCACUCCCCCAAUCAUUUGAGGGAGCGUUGGUAGUGGGGAUAAAUCGCAGUCUCGUCCCUGUCAAAGGGGCGUGUCUGCCGAAGUCAACAAGGUGCCUCAUAGCGUGGAGUCAGUCCCUCUAGGGAUGGGCUCCAUUCCAAGCCGCACUCGAAUAAACAUCUCGUAUGUCAUUCGACCUCGACGUCUUGCGCUGCGAUGACGCGUGGGUUAACAGCCCCGUGUCCUACCCCUUUUUCACUUGGAACACCCAACACUUCUCGACCUGAGCUCAGGCA